AACGCACAUUGCGCCCGCCAGUAUUCUGGCGGGCAUGCCUGUUCGAGCGUCAUUUCAACCAUCAAGCCCCAGGCUUGUGUUGGGGACCUGCGGCUGCCGCAGCCCCCUAAAAGCAGUGGCGGGCUCGCUGUCAUUCCGAGCGCAGUAGUUACAUCUCGCUCUGGGCGUGGCGGUGGGCACCUGCCGUGAAAUACUCUUUCUAAGGUUGACCUCGGAUCAGGUAGGAAUACCCGCUGAACUUAA
rnacentral:misc_RNA from 1 species